rnacentral:rRNA from 1 species
AUGGAUUCCGCCGCCGCCGCCGCCCAGCCGACGCACGCGCCGGCCGACGAGGAGGAGGCGCGGCGCCGCCGGGCCACCGACUGCAUCUACUACCUCGCCUCCCCGUUGACCUGCAACAAGGGGAGCGAGUGCGAGUUCCGUCACAGCGACGCUGCCAGGGUGAAUCCCAGGGACUGCUGGUAUUGGUUCAACGGCAACUGUGCGAAUGCUAAAUGUGCAUUUAGGCACCCGCCGCUGGAUGACUUGCUCGGAGCAUCGGCGACUCUGCGGGCACCUCAACAACCUGCGCCGCAGGUUCCCGUGCCAGCUCAAGCCCUUCCACCCAAUGGCACCGCAAAGCCAGUUGUCCCGUGUUACUAUUACCAGAAAGGCAUGUGUGCGAAAGGAAACCUGUGCACAUUCUCGCAUGGGCCACAGUUUGCUGGAAACCCUGCUUUGCAGCCUCAUCUCCAGCUGAAGAACUCCAACUCGUGGACGAAACCAAGCAAUUCACCCCAACAGAGAACCACUCCCGCCAUACAUGGCGAGCUUAAAGUCGGUGCUCAGAAUGGCAGACCAGCUCAGAAGCAAAAUCCGACAAGCAGGGCUUAUCACUCGUCAGGAAUUUACCAGAAUCAGAAUAAUAACCCUUAUGUGCUUUCUGGUGCGGCAAAGAGUUACCAGCCUCAGCGUUUGGUUGAAGCUGAGUCUGCUGAGAAUGUUAUAGAGACGGGUGAGUUUGUCAGGGAGCCUUCUGCUGGUUCCAGUGUGGUCGCCGGCAGUGUCGAGGACGACGCCGAACGGUCGUUCAAGGAAGGCCACAAUAGUAGUUACCGGCGUGCUAGCGGGGAGCAGAACAGUGGGGUGCGUAGGCAAGCACAUGGUGGCUAUGAACUAGAAAGGUCAUCACACAAAAGCUCAUCCGACAGGUUGGUGUCAGAGAGAAGGCUUACCCAGAGAGAGUCGAUGCCUGUAACUGCAGAAAGUUCAGACUUGCGCCACAGGCUACUGAAGCAAAGAAGGCUGAAUGAUUCGAGAUCGACGCAGGUCCCCGACAGGCGGGAUAGAAGGUAUCCUGAGGAUGAGCGCGACAUCCAUCAUCGCCGUCGAGGAGAAGAGCGAGCUGCCCAUGACGGCCUCUCACGCUCUCGGUUGCAAGGUCGGAUAAAACUUCCAGGGGAGACAUCACUGGACAGACUCGGCCCACACCCACACCUAGAGAAAGAGAGAGGUCAUAGAGACAGAUUUUCUCCACCAAAGCAAACAGACCUUCGAGCAAAGCUUCAUGAUAGGCUGAAGGCUAGAUCGAAUGAGGAUGCCCCUGGUAACCUGAAGAGUUCAGUGGUUAAAGCAAGCAGUGGUGAGGAUGCUGGGGUGGUGAACUUUUCUGGUCCAAAGAGCCUUGCAGAGUUGAGAGCAAAGAAGGCUGCUUACAGGUCAGGAGAAAACACUGUCAAGAAUGCUGACCGUGUUGCGCGACCAGCCCGUAUGACGUCGGAGAUAGUUGCCAAGAGGGACUCACCAGACCCUGUUCCCUUUGACGGCCCGAAGCCAUUGAGUGUCAUCUUGAAGAGGAAAAGAGAGGCAGCUUCUGCUGAUUCUGGCAGCAUGCAGGAAGAACAGGUUGCAGGUCAGGAGGAACAGUCCCUGAACAAUUCCAGAAUCCUCGACAACGAUAGAGUCGAGGCAAACACCGAGGACAUUGAAGAAGAAGAAGAAGAGUUCCACCCAGAAGACGAUGUGAUGUACGACGACGAUGGCCUUUCUCCUGCUGAUGACAACGCCGCCGAGGCGGCAGGCGAUGCAGGCAAAGAAGAGCUAGAGGAGGGGCAGCAGGAAGACCUAGAGACGGCGGCAGAAGAAGAAUACGACUACGAGGCGACUGACGACGCGAAUGCCGAGGGUGAAAACGACUUCCAGGAGUACGAAGACGACGAUGAUCUGGAGGACGACGAUGAUUUCGCGCGCAAGGUUGGCGUGCUGAUCUCUUAG